rnacentral:tRNA from 125 species
UCGGGAUAGCUCAGUUGGUAG